GUGUUCUCUGCAGCAGAAGGUUGGAUCCAGGGGGAUGACUCCAGCUGAGGAAUCAUCCAGGAGCAGCAGCCGGAGGAGAAAUUGGCAGAAGUGGACCUGAGCCGCCUGGAAAUCCUCUUAAGUGGAGAUCAACAGUCCUCAGCUUUCUGCCUCCCACAUAACUGCCUCUGCGCUUCUAGAGGAAUCAUGGAGGAGCAGCAGCCGAAGGAGAAGGUGGCAGACAUGGACCUGAGCAGCUUGGACAUAGUUCUAAGAAGAGAUUAACAGUCCUCAGCUUUCUGCCUUGCACAUAACUGGCUGUGAGUAAGCGAUACUGUAUUCAAAGCACUGACCUCCUCACUUAAAGUCGCCCCGGUUAACGUUGUUACGUUGCUGAUCAAUUAGGGAACAUGCUCGUUUAACAUUGUGCAAUGCUCCCUUAUAAUGUUGCUUGGCAGCUG